GACUAGAGCAUCCUUGAGAUUCUGUGAUCAGUCAUCCCUCCUCGCUGGUGAAUGGAGACAGUGGUCACAACUCUCCCCGAAGAAGGCGGUGUGGGUCCAUCACCGAAGAUGCUGUUGCUUCUGCUGCUUCUGGGGACAGGCUCCGGGCUUGCUGCUGUCGUCUUUCAAUAUCCGAGCAGGGUUAUCUGUAAGACAGGAACCUCUGUGAAGAUCGAGUGCCGUUGCCUGGACUUUCAGGCCACAACUAUGUUUUGGUAUCGUCAGUUCCAGAAACAGAGCCUCAUACUCAUGGCAACUUCCAAUGAGGGCUCCAGUGUCACAUACGAGCAAGGCAUCAAGCGGGAUAAGUUUCCCAUCAACCAUCCAAACCUCACCUUCUCCACUCUGACAGUGACCAAUGCCCAUCCUGAAGACAGCAGCUUCUACAUCUGCAGUGCUAGAGACACAGCACCAGGAAGGGAUCAGAGACCGUGGCAAGAACCCCCUGCAGCUGGGCCUCUGCCCCAGCAGGGCCCCUGAGUGCUGAGAGGUGAGGCGUGGAGAUGGAAAACCACAGCUUUCCUGACUGAGACAUCUGGGUGUGUGUGUAGGGGGUGUGUGUGUGACAUUUGGGUGUGUGUGUGUAGGGGGUGGGGCGGGGUGGGGGGAGAGAAAGAAAAGAAGCCCUGUGAGUGUGGAGAGUGGAGGAGCUGUAGUGUUUGAGACCCAUGAAAUGGCCAUAGAGUUGGGCCUAAAGUGGUCAGUGGACAUGGAAGCUUCCCUGAAAAUUAUAAAACCUGGAAUUUUGCCCUGACUCUGCCACAUUAGUCAUGUGCUCUUGAAUAGAUCUACACACAAUCCUAGAGGUGGAUAUGAAGACAGUUGUAUAAUCACUGUGUAUUUCCUAUAAUAAACUUCAGCGAUUGGCUUUCUUGUCAUCAUGCUGGGCUCUCAAGACAAAGAUAACCAAGAGGCAGCCAAGUAGACAGUUAUGCAUGAGUACGUUACCUUAGGGGAGGACGGCAACAGCACUGAAUAGCACCCACUUCAAAUUUGUGUUCAGUCCUCCUUGGACCAGGACCACCAAAAUAAAAUCCUAUCACAUUUCCUGUAAAUGUUGAAUGCCAUCAUGUUCUCCAUAUUGUUUCGGUUGAUGAAUGAACACAGUAAGACUCGGCACAAAGGAAGGAGAGCACCCUCUAUGCCUAGGUACACACGAUAUGGAAUGUAUCCCUAGGGAAGGUGCUGGUGAGCUGGCUUCUGGGAAAGCUGUCAAGGGGAAGAGCGGGCAGAGGUACCUAGAAGGAAGAUCUCAGACAACAUGGCUUGUCUACAGAGUUGGAAAGUUCUGCCAGUAGCUAGAAGACAGUAAGUGGAACAGUGAAAAUCCUUCCCUGGGAGAAACCAAAUAUUUACAUUGACCACAAAUCUGUAUGAGCCAAUAGAAAAUGAGCAAAACAUGAUCAUACAUUUAAUAGAAGAAACAUGUAUGACCAAUAAACAUAUAGAGAUAUUUUACUGCAUUGAUGAUCAGGAUAAUAUGAAGCAAGACAUAGUGAUACAUAGCCUUAUAUCCACUUGAUUAGCAAAAUAUAAAAAGUUUAGAAAUAUAAAAUGUUAGCGAGGGUAUGGAUUCAUAGGAUUACUUAUAAAUUACUGAUGGGAGCAUAAGUACUAUAAACCAUUUGGAAACAGUUCAGCAUCAUCUCAUAGUUGAAGAUUUCUAUGUCCCAUGACUCAGCAAUUCCACUCCUAGAUUUACAUCAGGAGAGGCUCUUGCAUACAUGACUCAGCAAUUCCACUCCUAGAUUUACUUCAGGAGAAGCUCUUGCAUACACAUAUCAGAAGAUAUAAAUACAAAAGUGUUCUUAACAGCACCAAACAGUAGAAAAACAUGGCACCAAGCCACACAUGCACCGAGAAGAGUGAAUGAAUAAACUGUGGCAUAUUCAUAUGAGUCAAAAUGAAUGAACUAUAGUGAAGAGCAAGGUUAUAGGUGAAUCUUAGCAAUAUAAUAGCAAAUGAAAAAUCUAAGUCUAAUGAGACUAUGCAAAGCCUAAUGUGCUUUUCAUAAAGCUAAAAACAAAUAAGUCAAGAAAAUAAUUUUCAGGAAUAAAAUAUCUUAGGUCAAAUUUUAUUGAAAGGAAAGCAAAGACCAGUCGUAUGCUGGAGCCUAUCUUAUCAGCUCAUGGGAGCUGACUGUACACAUUUUUCCCAACUCCAGUUUUAGUGACAUCAUUUUGUUAGCUUGAAACUGGCAAUAGUGAGGGUAUUUACACUAUAGAAAUCAGCAAACACAAUAAAUUACAGUUUUGCUUUAUUUUCCUCCAAAGAGUUAGUUGUCAACCCUUUACCAACACACUAUUGGCAGGGAAUAAUAGUGACCCAAGUUCAGGAUUUUUAUAAGGCUGGGGCAUGGCAGGAGAUAGAAUGAGAGAGAACUACAUAGCUAUACAUUUAAAUAUUGUCAAGGUCUGUCUUGCAUAAUGUUGAGGAGGAGAUGUUUUACAAGUUCCUAUUAUAUUUUUAAAUAAAUAAAUAACUAUUCAUUGACAAGCAAUGCCUAUGUGUUAUGAACCACAGGUUAAGAUAAAUAAAAUUGUAUGCAUAUAGAAUCAAAAAGAAGAGAAAACAAAUAAAUGAACAGAUUAGAGUUCUUACAAGAAAAGGAUCAAGAGCAUUUUAUAGUCAAAACCAGGAGUGAAAUAGCAGUGGCUCAACUGCUACCAUCCUUAUACAGACAUCGGCUGCUGAAUUAAUCACGGCGGACAACCUGCUACCCAACAGACCUGGACCCUUGUCAACCCCUUUGCAACAGAGAGCAAGGGUUUAGACACUAAGGGUGAAUGUGAAAACAUGGAGAUGACACCUGGCCCCUGACCAAGGUGGAACUGACUGGAAUAAGAUGGGAGCCAAGUCCGCAGUGCACACGCUGCUGUUUUUCAUCUCCGCUAUGACCAUGUGUUGCUGGUGGUUAAAUACCCUACCUGGGUUCAGUCACCUCAGACUGUGCCAUUGUCACUGAACUCACGGACCCAUUUUAGUUGUAGCCUUUUACUCUGUUAGUGUUUUCAGCCUGGAGAACAGAGCUAGUAAAAUACUUUAAAAAUAUUCCACUGCUUACUAAUGGCAUGGAAAAGACAAGAGCUUUUAAGGCUCUGGCAUGAAACACGGAGACAGUGGUUACAUUCCUAUUUCAUGCGGUCACUAUUUCCCUCUGCAUUAAGCUAAGGAGUGUAGUGUUUCAGUGACAUUUAGCAUGGAACAGUGCUGGGUUCAGAGAUGCGUUUCCCAAACCAGCUGGCUAUCAAGGACACAGCCUACUGCCUACCUACAUGACCUUAGGAAAGAAGACAACAGCGUUGAACAGCAUUCAGUCCAAAUUUGUGUUCUGUCUUCCUUGGACAAGUACCAACAAAAUAAAAUCCUAUCACAUUUCCUGUAAAUUUUGAAUACCAUACAUUUUUGAUGAGCAAUUAUUUUUGAAGUGUUGGACUUCCUGUUCUGAUUUAAUAUUCUACUCUCUGGGCUUUGUUGUAUUUGAAAUCAAGUUCGCCUUUCAGAGGCAGUGAUGAGUGAGGUAAGAGACAGAUGCUUACAUCCUCCUGCCCGAUACACACACACACACACACACACACACACACACACACACACACACACAGAAGCACUGUGUUCCCCAGUAAUGGAGAAGCCAUGGGGAGAAUUUCAGAGGUUUCAAAGGAGCUAGGGUUUUCUAAUUCCUCUAUAUCCUUGGAUAUCCCCAUUCUUAAUGUCAAAAACAAUCUCUGGAGCUGGUUUCCAGGAGUCUGAACCCAUUUGCUACAGUACAUGUAUCAUCUCAGGUGUCCAAGGGUGAAUGUUUGAUUAGCUACUUCACAACUUCAUACCACUGCUGCUGUUUUACCAUUCUGGAAUGUGGAAAGCAGCGUGACUCCUAUUAACUGACCAGUAGUCAAUUUCAACUACCCAUAAAUAUGUGAGUGUCUUUUAUCUGUAAUCUCCUAUCUGGUGCCAUUUUUGAAAAGCAGUUAAGACUCUUUUAUUCUAAAAAAUGAACUAUGUCUCACUUCUUGAAAGUAAUUAUUGAUGAAAUGCUCCCUGGAGAGUCUGAAGCCCCUGAUAUUGCAUAUUUAAUGGUUAUCCACCUUUUAAUAAAAGGUAUGGGGAUAAAUUUUAAAUAUUAGUCCUAAAUACCUUACAUCAAGAUGAGCUAGAGUUAAUUAAGUGGGACGAGAGAUAAUGAGUUCAAGGGCAUUUAAGAAAGAUUAAAGAACCAGUGCAAAUGUUUUAAUCAGGAAAUAAAUUGGUGUGUUUAAUGACAGGAAAGAAGUCAGCAGCGUGGCAGCAGCAGGGGGAGGAGGCGGUUGAGUACAGAGCAAAAUUGAAGAAGGCAGGAAGGCAUCAGACCACUCACAACCUUACUGGUCAAGGUAAAUGAUACAGAAUCCAACAUAAAGCUUAACAGGAGACAUUGAGGUUUUCAACCUUUGACUUCUGUAGUAAUCAGAUUCGUGGCUGUGUGUGUAUCUGUGUAUUUAAUCACCCUGGUCACAAAGUGAAGAAAUAAUGGACCGUGCAGGGAAGGCAAAAUGUUACCUCUACCCUCUUAGGGUUUUUGGCUGGGCCUGAGAACGGAACAGAUUAACAGGAGAAGAGCAAACACAUGUAUUUAAUGUAAGUUUUACAUCACAUGAAAGCCCCUAUAAUUACAGGAAGACCUGAAUAUGCAGUCAGAGUUGAACACUCAUAUACUGAAUUGGGCAAAGAGUCAUACAUUGUUAAAAGGUGAAAAAGUAAAGGGGCUUGGGCUAGGGUUGCUGGUGGAAUGGCAAAGUGAUGAGGAAGGUGAGGGUUAGUUUAACAAGCUUUUUUGGUACAGAUUCCUUGGCCGCAACAUCAUCCCAUUCUAUCUUUGAUUUUAAGAAUAUUCUUUAUUCCUGGUAUAGAUAAGACUUUUUUUAUAUGGGAGGCUUAUUUUGUUUUUCAAGAAGAAAAGGGGAAGGGUCAGAAUACUCGUCUUAUACCUGCUAUUGUCUAAAGACAUUAAAGGCAUUAAAAUGCCUCUUGCUCAAAAUAAUCCUUAUGCCAAAGUGGCGUGUUUUGGGCAGAGGGUUGGGGGGCUUAUCCUGCUGCCCUCCAGCAGUGUGGACAGAAUUGAUGCAGAGGGAAAAUGUUAGCUCAGACAAGCAGUAGUUUAGCUCAGAUAAUGAUGAUGGUGUUAGAAAUAUGGGGAAAAUGAGACAUUGAAAAGGAAGUAAAUCAAAGGACUUGGCAACUGGUUAGACAUGAGCAGCAACAUGCAGGGGGUGGGGGGUGAUGAUUAAGAGACUGCUACAGACAGACAAAUAAGGAGGACCAAGUGGGAAGAAGAUCAAGAUUUACCUUGAGAUUGGGAGUGCCUUUGAGACAGUGAUCUAACCAGGAAUAUGCAGAGAGCAGUUGGAUAUACAAUCAUGGACUCAGAAAAUGGAUCUGGAUAAGAGGUAUACCUUUGGGACAUUUAGCCUCACUGGAAGAAUGAAAGUGCCUCCAACCCCUUGAUAUAGUUUUACAAUGAAAAGAGCAGAGAGCAUAGAAUAGAGAUUUAGGGAGCACACCUGCCUCGGGGGACUAUAAAAGGUUGAGGGAGGCAAAAUGCACUGAUAAACCACCAUUGGCAUUAAACUAACGGUCUAGACUAAUGGCUGAAUCAUGGUGUCAGUAAUCACUAGUAACAAUGCUGUGGAGUAUGUGGCAGGUACCACACCAAGUGCUGCUUUUUUCUUAAUUCCGCUCUGAUGCUUGGGAUGCCUCCUUGCUGCCUCGCUGCGGGGCGGGCCACUCCCGACUCAUGCAGGCUGAGGCAGACCUCAGCGGGCAUCGGAUGAAUUCGCUCCUUUGACCACUAGAGGGUGAUGUGGAUCUUCCUAUAAAAUAUCUGCCACUCAUCCAGUGUGGACUCGGAGCUUCACCAGAUAUUUCAGAUGAGGUGCUUAGGUGCUGAUU